UUGAAUCGUAAACUGAGAGUCAAUGCAAUAUAAGAUUGCAAAUCAUGAAAAUGUCAACUGAGAAAAAAAAAGACCUAAUAAAAAAUCGGAAAUUAGAAGGGAUGACCCUUUGAUUGGUAAUGAAGUGUUGUGAAAUGGAGUUCAAACAAAUGGAAAAAUUAGAUUUGGCAACAAAAAAAUGGCAUCAUUUGUUUUUACCAUUUGUUUCUAAUUUAGUGCCAGAAUUUGAAUGCACAGCAAGUUACCAGCAAGUUACAUAAUUCAUAAAAAU
rnacentral:lncRNA from 1 species